rfam:Puccinia triticina 1-1 BBBD Race 1 supercont2.125, whole genome shotgun sequence.
GUGGAUAUAGCUCAAUGGUAGAGCAACCCAGCAUGCAUUGGGGAGAUGUGGGUUCGAUUCCCCCUGUCCGCA